CGGUACUUGUGGGGGUGCCGCGCGUCCUCGAUGACCGGGAUGACGUUGGUCCUCUUCUUGGCCACGUUGAUGAGGUCCCGGCCUGAGCGGUGCGAGAACUCCACGGCGUACACCAAACCCUCCUGGGGACGGGGACGAUGGUGUCACCUCCCCCCCCAAAGCCCCCCCCCCAAUGUAGGGACAUCUUGGGGGUCCCCAUGGUUGGGGACGUCCGUGGUGACCCCAAGGUUGGGGACAUGGAUUGGCCAAUGAUGGAGACACUGAGAGCGUCCCCAAGGUUGGGGACAGCUAUGGGGACACGGAGAACGAUGGGGACAUCUGAUGUGUUCCCGAAGUUGGGGACAUCAUGGGGACAUGGAGAAUUAUGGGGACAUCUGUGGUGACCCCAAGGUUGGGGACACUGCGGGGACAUGGAUUGGCCAACGAUGGGGACAGUGGUGGUGUCCCCAGGACUGGGGACAUGGAGUGGAAAACUAUGGGGACAUCUGAGGUGUCCUCAAGGUUGGGGACACGGAGUGGAGAACUAUGGGGACAUUGGUGGUGACCCCAACGUUGGGGACACUGUGGGGACACGGAUUGGCCAACGAUGGGGACAUCUGUGGUGAACCCAAGGUUGGGGACAACUACGAGAACAUCUGUGGUGUCCCUAAGGUUGGGGACAUGGGGUGGAGAACGAUGGGGACAUCUGUGGUGUCCCCAAAGGACACCCAUGUGCCACCUCCAUAUCCCCUUGAUGCUCAACCCCAUAAUGAUGUCCCCAAGUGCCACCUCAACAUGCCCCCAAGUGCCACCUCCAUGUCCCCUUGACCCAGAACACCAUCAUGAUGUCCCCAAGUGCCACCUCCAGAUGUCCCCAAGCCACAACCAUGUGCCACCUCCAUGUCCCCUUGACCCAGAACACCAUCAUGAUGUCCCCAAGAUGCCACCUCCAUGUCCCCUUGACCCAGAACCCCAUCGUGAUGUCCCCAAGAUGCCACCUUUGUGUACCCUUGACCCAGAACCCUACAGAG
rnacentral:lncRNA from 1 species